UACGUAGGGCGCAAGCGUUGUCCGGAUUCACUGGGCGUAAAGGGCGCGUAGGCGGCGCGAGGAGUCGGGGGUGAAAGUCCGGGGCUCAACCCCGGAUCGGCCUUCGAUACUCUCGCGCUGGAGCACAGUAGAGGCGGGUGGAAUUCCGGGUGUAGCGGUGGAAUGCGUAGAGAUCCGGAAGAACACCGGUGGCGAAGGCGGCCCGCUGGGCUGUGGCUGACGCUGAGGCGCGACAGCGUGGGGAGCAAACAGG
rnacentral:rRNA from 1 species